rnacentral:rRNA from 1 species
UACAGAGGGUGCGAGCGUUAAUCGGAAUUACUGGGCGUAAAGCGCGCGUAGGCGGCUUUGCAAGUCGGGUGUGAAAUCCCCAAGCUUAACUUGGGAACUGCAUUCGAGACUGCAUUGCUAGAGUAUGGGAGAGGGAAGUGGAAUUUCCGGUGUAGCGGUGAAAUGCGUAGAUAUCGGAAGGAACAUCAGUGGCGAAAGCGGCUGACUGGACACAUAUUGACGCUGAGGCUCGAAAGCAUGGGGAGCAAACAGG